UACGAAGGGGGCUAGCGUUGUUCGGAAUUACUGGGCGUAAAGCGCGCGUAGGCGGGUAUUUAAGUCAGGGGUGAAAUCCCAGAGCUCAACUCUGGAACUGCCUUUGAUACUGGGUACCUAGAGUCCGGAAGAGGUGAGUGGAAUUGCGAGUGUAGAGGUGAAAUUCGUAGAUAUUCGCAGGAACACCAGUGGCGAAGGCGGCUCACUGGUCCGGUACUGACGCUGAGGUGCGAAAGCGUGGGGAGCAAACAGG
rnacentral:rRNA from 1 species